UGGGGAAUAUUGGACAAUGGGCGAAAGCCUGAUCCAGCCAUGCCGCGUGUGUGAAGAAGGCCUUUUGGUUGUAAAGCACUUUAAGUGGGGAGGAAAAGCUUGUGGUUAAUACCCAUAAGCCCUGACGUUACCCACAGAAUAAGCACCGGCUAACUCUGUGCCAGCAGCCGCGGUAAUACAGAGGGUGCAAGCGUUAAUCGGAAUUACUGGGCGUAAAGCGCGCGUAGGUGGUUAUUUAAGUCAGAUGUAAAAGCCCCGGGCUUAACCUGGGAACUGCAUCUGAUACUGGAUAACUAGAGUAGGUGAGAGGGGAGUAGAAUUCCAGGUGUAGCGGUGAAAUGCGUAGAGAUCUGGAGGAAUACCGAUGGCGAAGGCAGCUCCCUGGCAUCAUACUGACACUGAGGUGCGAAAGCGUGGGUAGCAAACAGGAUUAGAUACCCUGGUAGUCCACGCCGUAAACGAUGUCUACCAGUCGUUGGGUCUUUUAAAGACUUAGUGACGCAGUUAACGCAAUAAGUAGACCGCCUGGGGAGUACGGCCGCAAGGUUA
rnacentral:rRNA from 1 species